rnacentral:rRNA from 1 species
GACGAACGCUGGCGGCGUGCCUAAUACAUGCAAGUAGGACGCAGUUGCGAACGGGUGAGUAACGCGUAGGUAACUACCUAUUAGCGGGGGAUAACUAUUGGAAACGAUAGCUAAUACCGCAUACUAGUAGAUGGACCUGCGUUGUAUUAGCUAGUAGGUAGGGUAAUGGCCUACCUAGGCAAAGAUACAGAGCCGACCUGACAGGGGGAUCGGCCACAUGGGGACUGAAAAACGGCACAGAAGCUUACGGGAGGAAGCAGUAGGGAAUCUUCGGAAAUGGGGGGUAGCCUGACCGAGCAAAGCCGAGUGAGUGAAGAAGGUUUUCGGAUCGUGAAGAUAUGGUGUUAAGGAAGAGGUACUUAACCAGAAAGGGACGGCUAACUACGUGCCAGCAGCCGCGGUAAUUG